AUGUGUUACCUUGGCCCAGCUGCCACCCCUUGCCAGCUGAAGUUUCUGUGUGGGUAUGUGCUGGGAAGAAAUGAGGGGCUCCCAGACUGGGACUUUCCUGCCUGUUUCUCAAGUGGCCUGUUCAAUUCCAAGUGGCAGCUGAGUGCUGACCUGGGUGAGCAAGGAGUAAUGGCAUCCUUGGGUCAUGGCUUCUACAAGCAAAGAGAGCAUUGUGACCCAGCCUGGCUCCCUCCAUCGACAAGAGACUUCCCAGCAUCGGCUCUUACAGCAUCUACUUCCAGGGGAAGAAUGCAGGGCAGGAGCAAACAAGCCCCAGGUGUGCCGAAUCCCUGGAUCUCUAGGAGAGAGGGAACAGGCAGUGCGAGACCAACUGGGACACCCCUCACCUUUAAGACAUCCCACUCCAUUUGUGGUCUGUGGGUUGCAUCUCCAUCCAAACCUCAGCUAGCCAUGUGAGCUCUGGUAAGUGCUUUUAUCUUCUGGGGUUCUUGAUUUCUUCAUCUCAGGAAUGUGACUAAUAAUCCCUGAUUUUUCUGCUUCCAGCACUAUCUUGAGUAUCCGAAGUCCUUGGAGAGGUACUAGACAUGCAGGGGAUGCCGGCAAGUGCAAUAGCUUCCAUGUGGGCCUCAGGACGUAUACCUGCCCCCUGUCCCAGACUUGGGGAACCAACCCCUCCCCCACCUUGAGUGAUUGCCUUGGCUAAUCACAGAGUGCCUGGCUAACUAACUCUUAUUUCUCCCUCAGGUUUUAGCUUAGCUGUUGUUUCUUCAAGGUCUGCUGGAAAAUCAGACUGGGUCUCCCUGCUAUAAGCUCUCAUAGCGUUUGGUAGAUUCCUCCUAUUGUCUGUGUCAUGAGCUGUACAGAGUGGUUGUGUGACUGUUUUUUGCACAUGUAUUUCCUGUGCCAGACUCUAAGCUCCAUGAGGAAAAGUAUGUCAUUGUUGUGCCCAAGAUUGCGAAUCCGAGAAAACCACCGAGGAGCCGACACUGAUGCAAGUACAUGAGUUUAUUAACAAGCUCGAGCUUGGGUCCAAGUAUACCCGACAUAGCAGAGCAGGGACUUGGACCCCGAGGUGGGUUACAGCUGGGUUUUUAUGGGCUGGUCUGGGGUAAGGUGGGGUUUUUCAGUAAGGGUAGGGGGGUGAGAAUCUCCAGUAAAGAGGUCUCACAAGCUCUUGCUUCCUUAUUCUGAUAAGGGCGUGCUUUGUGAUUUUGCCUGUAGCCGGGGUAAGGUGCAGUUCAGUACCUGGUCACAGUGGCCUGGUCACAGUGGCCUGAGAUGGCUGCCAAAGCUACAAUGGCUGUACUUGUGCCAAUGUUGAACUUGAAUGGCCCUAAUUUUCUCGGCCUCCACAUCAUCUUACCACCAGCAUAUAACACAGUGCCUGGCACAUGGCAAGCAGGUGCUCAACAAAAUUGCCGGCCUCAACCCUCUUCUAUGCUUCAGCCAACGCCGGAUGCCAAGCUCCCAUCUAUUACGUCCCCCUUACCCAACAUCUCCUUAUAAGGAGAAGGGUGACAUCUCUCCUCUCCUUAUAAUUCAAGGAACAAGUCACCUAGAUCAUAGUUGGCCUUCUUCCCAUCUCCCAUCGCAGCAGGCCUCGCCCAGAAGCCAAGGGUGCAAGCGAGUAAUCGCUUUCUUUAUUCUUCUGCGCACGGCUGCUCUCUGGUGGUUAACCAUGGAAGAGAGCGCGGAAAGGAUAGAAACCCUCUGGUUGGUCCAGGGAGCCAGGAACGGGUAAGGGCUACACAGAGGGCAUCCAGGUCAAGAUUCCUGUCUGUAUCCAUCCUGACGAAUGGCUCCCUCCAAAUCUGACAGGAAGACCUUAACUUAGAAGAGCAAGAAAAUAAAGCAAGGCCCGNNNNNNNNNNNNNNNNNNNN
rnacentral:lncRNA from 12 species